rnacentral:rRNA from 1 species
UAAUACGUAGGGAGCAAGCGUUGUCCGGAUUUACUGGGUGUAAAGGGUGCGUAGGCGGCUAGGCAAGUCAGACGUGAAAACCAUGGGCUCAACCUGUGGACUGCGUUUGAAACUGUUUAGCUUGAGUGAAGUAGAGGUAGGCGGAAUUCCCGGUGUAGCGGUGAAAUGCGUAGAGAUCGGGAGGAACACCAGUGGCGAAGGCGGCCUACUGGGCUUUAACUGACGCUGAGGCACGAAAGCAUGGGUAGCAAACAGGAUUAGAUACCCUGGUAGUCCAUGCCGUAAACGAUGAUUACUAGGUGUGGGGGGUCUGACCCCCUCCGUGCCGGAGUUAACACAAUAAGUAAUCCACCUGGGGAGUACGGCCGCAAGGUUG